CCUACGGGAGGCAGCAGUGGGGAAUUUUGGACAAUGGGGGCAACCCUGAUCCAGCAAUGCCGCGUGAGUGAAGAAGGCCUUCGGGUUGUAAAGCUCUUUUGUCAGGGAAGAAACGGUGUGAGCUAAUAUCUCAUGCUAAUGACGGUACCUGAAGAAUAAGCACCGGCUAACUACGUGCCAGCAGCCGCGGUAAUACGUAGGGUGCAAGCGUUAAUCGGAAUUACUGGGCGUAAAGCGUGCGCAGGCGGUUUUGUAAGACUGUCGUGAAAUCCCCGGGCUCAACCUGGGAAUGGCGAUGGUGACUGCAAGGCUAGAGUUUGGCAGAGGGGGGUAGAAUUCCACGUGUAGCAGUGAAAUGCGUAGAUAUGUGGAGGAACACCGAUGGCGAAGGCAGCCCCCUGGGUCAAAACUGACGCUCAUGCACGAAAGCGUGGGGAGCAAACAGGAUUAGAUACCCUGGUAGUCCACGCCCUAAACGAUGUCUACUAGUUGUCGGAUUUUAAUUAACUUGGUAACGCAGCUAACGCGUGAAGUAGACCCGCCUGGGGGAGUACGGUCGCAAAGAUUUAAAAACUUAAAUGAAAUUGACCGGCUGAAGAGUGCGACGGACGACGACGAGGGAGGAGGG
rnacentral:rRNA from 1 species